rnacentral:rRNA from 1 species
UACGAAGGGGGCUAGCGUUGCUCGGAAUCACUGGGCGUAAAGCGCAUGUAGGCGGACUCUUAAGUCGGGGGUGAAAUCCUGGAGCUCAACUCCAGAACUGCCUUCGAUACUGGGAGUCUUGAGUUCGGGAGAGGUGAGUGGAACUGCGAGUGUAGAGGUGAAAUUCGUAGAUAUUCGCAAGAACACCAGUGGCGAAGGCGGCUCACUGGCCCGAUACUGACGCUGAGGUGCGAAAGCGUGGGGAGCAAACAGG